CACGUAGGCACCAAGCGUUGUCCGGAUUUAUUGGGCGUAAAGAGCUUGUAGGCGGUUCGGUUAGUCGGGUGUGAAACCUCUGGCUCAACUCAGAGACGCCACCCGAUACUGCUGUGACUAGAGUGCGGUAGGGGAGCGGGGAAUUCCUGGUGUAGCGGUGAAAUGCGUAGAUAUCGGAAGGAACAUCAGUGGCGAAAAGCGGCUUCCUGGACCAGCACCGACGUUCAGGCACGAAAGCGUGGGGAGCAAACAGG
rnacentral:rRNA from 1 species